AAGUCGUAACAAGGUUUCCGUAGGUGAACCUGCGGAAGGAUCAUUACCGAGUGAGGGCCCUCUGGGUCCAACCUCCCACCCGUGUUUAUCGUACCUUGUUGCUUCGGCGGGCCCGCGCAAGGCCGCCGGGGGGCAUCUGCCCUCUGGCCCGCGCCGCCGAAGACACCAUUGAACGCUGUCUGAAGAUUGCAGUCUGAGCAAUUAGUUAAAUAACUUAAAACUUUCAACAACGGAUCUCUUGGUUCCGGCAUCGAUGAAGAACGCAGCGAAUGCGAUACGUAAUGUGAAUUGCAGAAUUCAGUGAAUCAUCGAGUCUUUGAACGCACAUUGCGCCCCCUGGUAUUCCGGGGGCAUGCCUGUCCGAGCGUCAUUGCUGCCCUCAAGCACGGCUUGUGUGUUGGGCUCCGUCCUCCUCCCGGGGACGGGCCGAAGGCAGCGGCGGCACCGCGUCCGGUCCUCGAGCGUAUGGGGCUUCGUCACCCGCUCUGUAGGCCCGCCGGCGCUUGCCGACACAUCAAUCUUUUUUCCAGGUUGACCUCGGAUCAGGUAGGGAUACCCGCUGAACUUAA
rnacentral:rRNA from 1 species